rnacentral:rRNA from 1 species
UACGAGGGGGGCGAGCGUUGUUCGGAAUUAUUGGGCGUAAAGGGUGCGUAGGCGGUUCCGCAAGUCCUGUGUGAAAUCUUCGGGCUCAACUCGAAGUCUGCACGGGAAACUGCGGGGCUUGAGUGUGGGAGAGGUGAGUGGAAUUCCCAGUGUAGAGGUGAAAUUCGUAGAUAUUGGGAAGAACACCGGUGGCGAAGGCGGCUCUCUGGACCGACACUGACGCUGAGGCGCGAAAGCGUGGGGAGCAAACAGG